rnacentral:rRNA from 1 species
UACGUAGGGGGCAAGCGUUGUCCGGAUUUAUUGGGCGUAAAGAGCGUGUAGGCGGCCAGACAAGUCUGCUGUGAAAACUCGAGGCUCAACCUCGAGCUGUCGGUGGAAACUGUCUGGCUAGAGUCCGGAAGAGGAGAGUGGAAUUCCUGGUGUAGCGGUGGAAUGCGCAGAUAUCAGGAAGAACACCCGUGGCGAAGGCGGCUCUCUGGGACGGUACUGACGCUGAGACGCGAAAGCGUGGGGAGCGAACAGG